rnacentral:tRNA from 1 species
GGAGAGGUGCCAGAGUGGUCGAAUGGGACGGUCUCGAAAACCGUUGUGCUCGCAAGGGUACCGAGGGUUCGAAUCCCUCCCUCUCCGCCA